AUGGAUUUGAAUUUGAUGCCGGAAGAGGAGGACGAAGCUCAAAAAGAAGUACAAGCUCAGCAGGGUGAUGCUAUUGAUUUGAACUUGAUGCCGGAAGAUGAGGAUGAAGCUCAACAAGAAGAACAAGCUCAACAGGGUGAUGCUAUUGAUUUGAACUUGAUGCCGGAAGAUGAGGAUGAAGACAUUGAAUUGAAUUGGUUUCCUGAAGAGGAAGAAGCUGAAGAGGCACAAGGAGAUGCAGAAUUGGAAGAAGCUCAAGAGGCACACGGAGAUGCAGAAUUGGAAGAAGCUCAAGAGGCACAAGGAGAUGCAGAAUUGGAAGAAGCUCAAGAGGCACAAGAAGAUGCGGAAUUGGAAGAAGCUGAUGCACAUGGCAAUCCAAGAGGCAAGGACUUGACAGACAAGGAGAGACAUGGUGUUUACUUUGCUCUGCGAGUAAUCGAGCUUAGAGAUGGACAGGUUCACGUGUAUGACAAGGUGCUCAUUGCGACGAUGCUAAAUGUUCACCUAUGA
rnacentral:rRNA from 1 species